rnacentral:ncRNA from 2 species
CGCGGGAGCCCGGGCGCACCGGGCUGAGAGGGAGGCUGAGACGGCCUCCGACCGUCCGAACCUGAUCCGGGUCAUUCCGGCGAAGGGAG